GCUGAUGGGCCGCUGCUCCCUGCGACAGGCGCGAGGCGGGACUCGCCCUAUAGGGCACGAGCACGAGCAAGCGGCGGGGGAGCGCGAGCCGCCCCCGCCUGGGCCGGAACACAUGCCCGGCGGCGCCCGCGCCUCCAUUUCCCAGGGGCCCCCGCUUUGUUUGCAGAUUUGUGUUGGGGCUGACGUAGCUGCAUGGUUUAUCGGGACAGCCAAUCCCCAAGCACGCUGUGUUAGUACCUGGCCAUAUAAGGUAAACAAAUCUGGUGCCCCAAUGAGCGCGAGGGGGCGGUGCUGCGGGGCGCCGUCAGCGCGGCUGGUCCGGGGCUCGCGCUGUUUACAAGCGGCGCGUGCAGUUUCCUGUUGCUCCCGUACAAAUCUCGAGGGCAGCAUUGACAUGUCCCACGCGUUGGAGCAGGGAGCACCACGUCGCGCUGAGACUUGCGUCGAGUCGGAUCUCCGUGUUGAUAAGAAGCCUCACAAAGCCAUCACCUAGGCGUGUGGUAGAAGGGUGCAGGACUGGGCUGUGCACGACGUGUUUUGGCCUUCCCUAUGAUUAUACUGUCACAUGAACAUCCGCGGGGGCAAUCAGUAUAUUGUUUUGGUUAAGCUCUGGGUGAUGUUUAACCAGGAGGGUGCUAAAGCAACGCAUGUGUUACUCUGAGCAGCUGUGUUAUCCAUUAAGAGGAUGCUGACCUCUGUGUACAUGGACCUUUACAUGUAGGUACUGUACACAUAUGGCAAUUGCCUAUAUUCUGUGAUCACUCUGAUUCAGGAAUGCAGGCCCUCUUGUAAACAGAUUUUCCCCUUUUCUCGAGGGGGUCCAAGACCCUCAGGCACCCGGGUACUUGGCACCUCUGGUUCAUAGAUUCACAGAUGUCAGGGUCGGAAGAGACCUCAGUAGGUCAUUGAGUCUGACCUCCUACCCCGGACAGGAAAGAGUGCUGGGGUCAGAUGACCCCAGCUAGGUGUUUGUCCAGUCUCCUCUUGAAGACCCCCAAGGUAGGGGAGAGUACCACCGCACUUGGAAGCCCAUUCCAGAUUCUGGCAACCCUUACUAUGAACAAGUUCUUUCUAAUGGUUUGAACAGAACUAAUCAAGAAGGAAUUAAUAGUGGAUGAUCAGGGUUGAACCAACCUCAGACUCUUCCUUCCAACUCCCAGACUUUGGCAUGUUUGAGAUUUAGAUCCAGAUUAUAACCUUUGCUUCCAUCUAAACCUGACAGGACUAAGACUGCUGCAGACUAUUAAAUUCUUACCUGGA